rnacentral:pre_miRNA from 1 species
AGUGGAAUUGUUGGGCCACACAGUAAUUGUAUCUUUAACUUUUUGAAGAACUUCCAAAUUGUUUUCCAAAGUGACUUCACCAUUUUACAUUCCCACCAGCAAU